rnacentral:rRNA from 1 species
GAUGAACGCUAGCUACAGGCUUAACACAUGCAAGUCGAGGGGAAACGACAUUGGAAGCUUGCUUCCGAUAGGCGUCGACCGGCGCACGGGUGCGUAACGCGUAUCGAACCUACCCUUUACUCGGGAACAGCCUUGCGAAAGCAAGAUUAAUGCCCGAUGUUCCGCGUUUGCCGCAUGGCAAAUUCGGCAAAGAUUUAUUGGUAAAGGAUGGCGAUGCGUCCCAUUAGUUAGUUGGCGGGGUAACGGCCCACCAAGACGACGAUGGGUAGGGGUUCUGAGAGGAAGGUCCCCCCACAUUGGAACUGAGACACGGUCCAAACUCCUACGGGAGGCAGCAGUGAGGAAUAUUGGUCAAUGGGCGGAAGCCUGAACCAGCCAAGUAGCGUGCAGGAAGACAGCCCUAUGGGUUGUAAACUGCUUUCAGUCGGGAAUAAUUCGUCGGUCGUGACCGACGUUGCAGGUACCGUCAUAAGAAGGACCGGCUAAUUCCGUG